rnacentral:lncRNA from 1 species
GCUGAAAGUCCGUAUUGCCCAGCGACAGCCCCGAAACCUGAAGGAUCUGGAGAAGGUCUGUAUGGAGGAGUGGGCCAAAAUCCCUGCUGCAGUGUGUGCAAACCUGGUCAAGAACUACAGGAAAUGUAUGAUCUCUGUAAUUGCAAACAAAGGUUUCUGUACCAAAUAUUAAGUUCUACUUUUCUGAUGUAUCAAAUACUUAUGUCAUGCAAUAAAAUUCUAGUGAAUUACUUAAAAAUCAUAAGAUGUGAUUUUCUGGAUUUUUGAUUCAGUAUCUCACAGUUGAAGUGUACCUAUGAUAAAAAUUACAGACCUCUACAUAAUUUGUAAGUAGGAAAACCUGCUAAAUCGGCAGUGUAUCAAAUACUUGUUCUCCCCACUGUAUAUAUAUAUGCACAUUUUGAAUAUUCCUUAUUUGUUAAGUAAAUAACGGAACCAAGAAAAGAUGGAACCAACAAAGGUGAUAUGAGAACACUCAGAGCAGGUGAGGGAACACUCAGAGCAGGUGAGGGUACACUCAGAGCAGGUGAGGGUACACUCAGAGAAGGUUAUAUGAGAACACUGAGAGCAGGUGAGGGAACAGUCGGAGCAGGUGAUAUGAGAACACUCAGAGCAGGUGAUAUGAGAACACUCAGAGCAGGUGAGGGAACACUCACAGCAGGUGAUAUGAGAACACUCAGAGAAGGUGAGGGAACACUCACAGCAGGUGAUAUGAGAACACUCAGAGAAGGUGAGGGAACACUCGGAGCAGGGGAUAUGAGAACACUCAGAGAAGGUGAUAUGAGGUCUCUCAGAGAAGGUGGGGGAACACUCCGAGAAGGUGAUAUGAGAACACUCAGAGAAGGUGACAUGAGCACACCCAGAGCAGGAGAUAUGAGAACACUCAGAGAAGGUGAUAUGAGAACACUCAGAGCAGGUGAGGGAACACUCAGAGCAGGUGAGGGAACACUCAGAGCAGGUGAGGGUACACUCAGAGCAGGUGAGGGUACACUCAGAGCAGGUGAUAUGAGAACACUGAGAGCAGGUGAGGAAACACUCAGAGCAGGUGAGGGAACAUUCGGAGCAGGUGAGGGUACACUCAUAGCAGGUGCUAUGAGAACACUCAGAGAAGGUUAUAUGAGAACACCCUGAGCAGGAGAUAUGAGAACACUCAGAGAAGGUGAUAUGAGAACACUCAGAGAAGGUGAUAUGAGAACACUCAGAGCAGGUGAGGGUACACUCAGAGCAGGUGAGGGUACACUCAGAGCAGGUGAUAUGAGAACACUGAGAGCAGGUGAGGGAACACUCAGAGCAGGUGAGGGAACAUUCGGAGCAGGUGAGGGUACACUCAUAGCAGGUGCUAUGAGAACACUCAGAG